AUUGAACGCUGGCGGCAGGCCUAACACAUGCAAGUCGAGCGGAUGAAGGGAGCUUGCUCCUGGAUUCAGCGGCGGACGGGUGAGUAAUGCCUAGGAAUCUGCCUGGUAGUGGGGGAUAACGUCCGGAAACGGGCGCUAAUACCGCAUACGUCCUGAGGGAGAAAGUGGGGGAUCUUCGGACCUCACGCUAUCAGAUGAGCCUAGGUCGGAUUAGCUAGCUGGUGGGGUAAAGGCCUACCAAGGCGACGAUCCGUAACUGGUCUGAGAGGAUGAUCAGUCACCCUGGAACUGAGACACGGUCCAGACUCCUACGGGAGGCAGCAGUGGGGAAUAUUGGACAAUGGGCGAAAGCCUGAUCCAGCCAUGCCGCGUGUGUGAAGAAGGUCUUCGGAUUGUAAAGCACUUUAAGUUGGGAGGAAGGGCAGUAAGUUAAUACCUUGCUGUUUUGACGGUACCAACAGAAUAAGCACCGGCUAACUUCGUG
rnacentral:rRNA from 1 species